CAGUAACCAGUGUGUUGAUCCAUCAACAGAAAGUACCCAGACGUGGUUUCUUGCUAUUUGAGAUGUCCUUGGACAUCCUACCUGCCUCUGGGAUUUCUCCUUGGCUUUGCGUGCAUUCAUUCUGAUUGAAUCAGCUUCUUCCUGGAUCAUGUUUGAAGUCUGCCUUCUGGUCUCUGAAGGGGAGGGAACUACUGCUAAUUUAUGCAACACAAUUUGGAGUUUCAAAUGGAACCAUGUGUUGCCAUACAUCUGCUUGGGAUAAAUGAAACAAGUCAUCCUUUAACCUCUCUCUGUUUAUGAGGGCACAGAGGACAUAAAAUAUUUAUUGGAGAGCAUUGCAGAGGACACUGCAGACAUGUGCAGGCAAAACAGCUCGUGGCUGCCAGUUACGUUAUGGAGAUGAUGCAGACCUGGGACGUGGAGGCGUUGUUACUCUGGUUUUGACACCGAGACAAUGUGUCUCUGGACUGGAUCUGCC